rnacentral:rRNA from 1 species
GGCUGCCUUAGCGCGGUGGUCCCACCUGACCCCAUGCCGAACUCAGAAGUGAAACGCCGUAGCGCCGAUGGUAGUGUGGGGUCUCCCCAUGCGAGAGUAGGGAACUGCCAGGC